UACAGAGGGUGCAAGCGUUGUUCGGAAUUACUGGGCGUAAAGGGCUCGUAGGUGGCCAACUAAGUCAGACGUGAAAUCCCUCGGCUUAACCGGGGAACUGCGUCUGAUACUGGAUGGCUUGAGUUCGGGAGAGGGAUGCGGAAUUCCAGGUGUAGCGGUGAAAUGCGUAGAUAUCUGGAGGAACACCGGUGGCGAAGGCGGCAUCCUGGACCGACACUGACACUGAGGAGCGAAAGCCAGGGGAGCAAACGGG
rnacentral:rRNA from 1 species